GCCCAAUUAGCUCAGCGGCAGAGCAGUUGCCUGUUAAGCAAAAGGUCGCUGGUUCAAAUCCAGCAUUGGGCG